rnacentral:rRNA from 1 species
GACGUAGGAUGCAAGCGUUGUCCGGAUUUAUUGGGCGUAAAGAGCUCGUAGGCGGUUUGGUAAGUCUGGUGUGAAAUCUCCACGCUCAACGUGGAGGGGCCACCCGAUACUGCCAUGACUGGAGUCCGGUAGAGGAGUGUGGAAUUCCCGGUGUAGCGGUGAAAUGCGCAGAUAUCGGGAGGAACACCCGUAGCGAAGGCGGCACUCUGGGCCGGAACUGACGCUGAGGAGCGAAAGCGUGGGGAGCAAACAGG